GAUGAACGCUAGCUACAGGCUUAACACAUGCAAGUCGAGGGGAAACGACAUCGAAAGCUUGCUUUUGAUGGGCGUCGACCGGCGCACGGGUGAGUAACGCGUAUCCAACCUGCCCACCACUUGGGGAUAACCUUGCGAAAGUAAGACUAAUACCCAAUGACGUCUCUAGAAGACAUCUGAAAGAGAUUAAAGAUUUAUCGGUGAUGGAUGGGGAUGCUUCUGAUUAGCUUGUUGGCGGGGUAACGGCCCACCAAGGCGACGAUCAGUAGGGGUUCUGAGAGGAAGGUCCCCCACAUUGGAACUGAGACACGGUCCAAACUCCUACGGGAGGCAGCAGUGAGGAAUAUUGGUCAAUGGACGAGAGUCUGAACCAGCCAAGUAGCGUGCAGGAUGACGGCCCUAUGGGUUGUAAACUGCUUUUAUAAGGGAAUAAAGUGAGUCUCGUGAGACUUUUUGCAUGUACCUUAUGAAUAAGGACCGGCUAAUUCCGUG
rnacentral:rRNA from 1 species